UACGUAGGGUGCGAGCGUUGUCCGGAUUUAUUGGGCGUAAAGAGCUCGUAGGCGGUUUGUCGCGUCUGCCGUGAAAGUCCGGGGCUCAACUCCGGAUCUGCGGUGGGUACGGGCAGACUAGAGUGAUGUAGGGGAGACUGGAAUUCCUGGUGUAGCGGUGAAAUGCGCAGAUAUCAGGAGGAACACCGAUGGCGAAGGCAGGUCUCUGGGCAUUAACUGACGCUGAGGAGCGAAAGCAUGGGGAGCGAACAGG
rnacentral:rRNA from 1 species